UACGUAGGGGGCUAGCGUUGUCCGGAUUUAUUGGGCGUAAAGAGCGUGUAGGCGGCCAGACAGGUCCGUUGUGAAAACUCGAGGCUCAACCUCGAGAUGUCGAUGGAAACCGUCUGGCUAGAGUCCGGAAGAGGAGUGUGGAAUUCCUGGUGUAGCGGUGAAAUGCGCAGAUAUCAGGAGGAACACCAAUGGCGAAGGCAGCUCGCUGGGACGUGACUGACGCUGAGACGCGAAAGCGUGGGGAGCAAACAGG
rnacentral:rRNA from 1 species